AAAUAUAUAAAUAACGAUGGUAAACAACAGGCAGUAAUUAAUAGAGGUCGUAAAAAAAAAAUUCCACGAGACAAUUAAUAUCAAUUGGCCGCUUUCUCUGGAGACUGAGGCCGAGCCACCACCACCAGCACCAUCACCAACACCAUCAAUAACCACAAUGUUGAUAGUUACUGUAGCACAAAUUAAUAAGUCGUCAUCCGUAUUAACCUCUCAAUUAAAACGAGUCGAGUGUCUGUUAGACAUUAUUUCAUACUCCAUGUUUGCUACACCCUCAGUCUUCUUCCAGAUCUCACGAUCAACUUAACAUUACAACUUAUACUCAAAGCCCGUUCUUCGGCGUAAUUUUUUUACGGGCAGUAAUUAAAACUAGCAUCCAUAUUUAAUCAUGCAUACCAACUCGCUUAUAUUUUAAAUUUGAAUCUAUUACGGUGUUAGCUUUCUGUUGACGCAAUUAUUUGAGAGUAAGCUCUUGUAAAUUACAAACCAAAGCAUAAUUACAUUGUUAUGGUUAUAAUCUACGGCGAUUAAUUAAAUUAUAAAGUUAUCAGAGUGUUAAGUGUGCAAGAAAGAUCCAACGAUUAUAAAUCCAACAAUAGCAGCAGCACCGAAGGAAAGAACCAAGCGGAUUAUCAACAAGAGGAUAAUUGAGAAAAUACCAGAGACGUGUGACUACGAAUGUGAUCAACAAACGAUCGGACGCUUUCACUGCUAGUUAAUUCAAGAGAGUACACGUGGAUGCCGGCCUUGGCGAGUUCUUUGGCUCCUGGGCUGUCAAUAUUAUGAACUCCAGCGACGACAUAUGCGCCU